rnacentral:rRNA from 1 species
UAGGGAAUCUUCGGCAAUGGACGAAAGUCUGACCGAGCAACGCCGCGUGAGUGAAGAAGGUUUUCGGAUCGUAAAACUCUGUUGUUAGAGAAGAACAAGGACGUUAGUAACUGAACGUCCCCUGACGGUAUCUAACCAGAAAGCCACGGCUAACUACGUGCCAGCAGCCGCGGUAAUACGUAGGUGGCAAGCGUUGUCCGGAUUUAUUGGGCGUAAAGCGAGCGCAGGCGGUUUCUUAAGUCUGAUGUGAAAGCCCCCGGCUCAACCGGGGAGGGUCAUUGGAAACUGGGAGACUUGAGUGCAGAAGAGGAGAGUGGAAUUCCAUGUGUAGCGGUGAAAUGCGUAGAUAUAUGGAGGAACACCAGUGGCGAAGGCGGCUCUCUGGUCUGUAACUGACGCUGAGGCUCGAUAGCGUGGGGAGCAAACAGG